rnacentral:rRNA from 1 species
CCUACGUGUGGCAGCAGUGAGGAAUAUUGGUCAAUGGGCGCGAGCCUGAACCAGCCAAGUAGCGUGAAGGAUGACUGCCCUACGGGUUGUAAACUUCUUGUAUAAAGGAAUAAAGUGAGGCACGUGUGCCUUUUUGUAUGUACUUUAUGAAUAAGGAUCGGCUAACUCCGUGCCAGCUGCCGCGGUAAUACGGAGGAUCCGAGCGUUAUACGGAUUUAUUGGGUUUAAAGGGAGCGUAGAUGGGUUGUUAAGUCAGUUGUGAAAGUUUGCGGCUCAACCGUAAAAUUUCAAUUGAUACUGGCAGCCUUGAGUACAGUUGAGGUAGGUGGAAUUCGUGGUGUAGCGGUGAAAUGCUUAGAUAUCACGAAGAACUCCGAUUGCGAAGGCAGCUUACUAAACUGCCACUGACAUUGAUGCUCGAAAGUGUGGGUAUCAAACAGGAUUAGAUACCCCUGUAGUC